rnacentral:rRNA from 1 species
GGCGAGUACUGCCUUUCUCAGGCCGGGCCUUUCCUCCUGGGGAGCCGUGGCGGGUGGCCUUCGGGCGGCCUGCCGCGGGGAGCCAGGACGUUUACCUUGAAAAAAUUAGAGUGUUCAAAGCAGGCGUACGCUUGCAUAGAUUAGCAUGGAAUAAUGGAAUAGGACCUGUGGUUCUGUUUUGUUGGUUUCUGGAACCGCGGUAAUGAUUAAUAGGGACAGUUGGGGGCAUUUGUAUCUCGUAGCUAGAGGGGAAAUUCUUGGAUUUACGAGCGACAAACCUAUGCGAAAGCAUCUGCCAAGGAUGUUUUCAUUGAUCAAGAACGAAAGUUAGGGGAUCGAAGACGAUUAGAUACCGUCGUAGUCUUAACCAUAAACGAUGCCGACUAGGGAUUGGGCGAUGUUGUUGUGACUCGCCCAGCACCUUCAGAGAAAUCAAGUGUGUUGGGUUCCGGGGGGGAGUAUUGUCGCAAGGCCGAAACUUAAAGGAAUUGACGGAAGGGCACCACCAGGAGUGGAGCCUGCGGCUUUAAUUUGACUCAACACGGGGAAAACUCACCAGGUCCAGACAUAAUGAGGAUUGACAGAUUGAGAGCUCUUUCUUGAUUCUAUGGGUGGUGGUGCAUGGCCGUUCUUAGUUGGUGGAGUGAUUUGUCUGCUUAAUUGCGAUAACGAACGAGACCUUAACCUGCUAACUAGCGACGCAAACCCUGGUUUGUGGCCCGCUUCUUAGAGGGACUGUGGG